AAGCAAGAUAGAGCCGGUAUUUGGCUGCACUAACUGAGGUGCCAGGAGAGAAAAAAAUCUUUUUUUCUGCCCAGAACAAAUACAACAGGGAAGAAAUGCCAAGAUGCUAGGGACAUGCAGAAGAAUUUGGGGAUAAGUGUCAAUGAUGGUGCUAAAUGCCUUGCAAACAAGCAGACAGCCAUUUAAAAAAAUCUAGAUGUCAUUGCCAAGCAAAGACAGACAUCAGGAUGGAGUUGAGCGUCAUGAGAAAAGUGAGACUUUGCUUGAAAUCCAGGAGAGAGGAAGGAGAGGAUUUCAUCAGACACUGAAAUUGAGACUGCUUCGUAUCACAGGGAUCUAAGAAAUGAGAAUGGAAGGUCACACAACUGCACACAAGCAGAAUAGCUGUUGCAAAAGAGACACAAAUACAAGAAUCAUCUGCUCAGUGUGCAACAUUUUAAAUCUGAGAGUGGCUUCAAAAAUCAUCCAGUCUCCAUUCUGAUAGCUAGUUACAAAGACAGAAAUAAUAAUAACAGGUUUUGGAAGGAAGCUUUUUAAAUGGAUCUAACAUUAUAAAUAAGGACUUUAAGUCUCAUAGAAGUGGAGCAGCUUGUCUAAUGAUCCAGAAUGAAUUCAUGGUAGAAUUUGGACAAAGGACUGAAUAACAUCCAGAUCAAUAGCCACGUGAGUAUCAGCCUGAACAGAACCACCGUGCUAAGCCACGCCCAAUGACCCACAGAGACUGUGAAAUAAUAAUGUUUAUUGUCUUAAUGUGGUAA